rnacentral:misc_RNA from 1 species
GGGUACACUAGCAGCUAGGAUUGCGGCCACAGUUGUUGGGCAACAGGGUACUCGGCUUAGAGUUCAGGAUGCUCUCAAGUUAGCAGAGUCAUUUGCAUUUAGUCUUGAGAAUAACACCAGUAGGUCAGAUGUUGGUUCUGAUCGUAUUUCCAGCCUGUAACAUGGUGCCUCGGGUCAUUUUCAUUUCUCGAUUCUUUUUGUAGACUCUCUCUGUCAAUAGCCUUAUUCCUGUGUACAUUAUAUUAUAAUUAUACACUAUUAUAGUGGUAAUGAAUUUGCCAUGUUCAUCCAAAGUUGUCAGCUGUAAAAUGCUUGUGUAAGAGAAUACCACAUAACCUUGUUAUAAGAUUGAUUCGACUUGCUUUGCAUCCGAC